UUUGCAAAAUAGCUAAAGGCCAGCAAACAGGAUUCCUAAUCCUGGUGUCAGAGGUUCGAGUCCUCUCGGGG
rnacentral:tRNA from 1 species